rnacentral:rRNA from 1 species
GGGAUUGCCCUAGUAACGGCGAGUGAAGCGGCAACAGCUCAAAUUUGAAAUCUGGCUUCGGCCCGAGUUGUAAUUUGCAGAGGAAGCUUUAGGCGCGGCACCUUCUGAGUCCCCUGGAACGGGGCGCCAUAGAGGGUGAGAGCCCCGUAUAGUUGGAUGCCUAGCCUGUGUAAAGCUCCUUCGACGAGUCGAGUAGUUUGGGAAUGCUGCUCAAAAUGGGAGGUAAAUUUCUUCUAAAGCUAAAUACCGGCCAGAGACCGAUAGCGCACAAGUAGAGUGAUCGAAAGAUGAAAAGCACUUUGAAAAGAGGGUUAAAUAGCACGUGAAAUUGUUGAAAGGGAAGCGCUUGUGACCAGACUUGCGCCGGGCGGAUCAUCCGGUGUUCUCACCGGUGCACUCCGCCCGGCUCAGGCCAGCAUCGGUUCUCGCGGGGGGAUAAAGGUCCUGGGAACGUAGCUCCUCCGGGAGUGUUAUAGCCCGGGGCGUAAUGCCCUCGCGGGGACCGAGGUUCGCGCAUCUGCAAGGAUGCUGGCGUAAUGGUCAUCAGCGACCCGUCUUGAAACACGGACC